rnacentral:rRNA from 1 species
UGAACGCUGGCGGUAUGCUUAACACAUGCAAGUCGAACGGAAACGAUACUAGCUUGCUAGUAGGCGUCGAGUGGCGGACGGGUGAGUAACGCGUAGGAAUCUGCCUGAUAGUGGGGGAUAGCCCGAAGAAAUUCGGAUUAAUACCGCAUAAUCUAUUCGUAGUAAAGUGGGGGACUUUCGAGCCUCACGCUAUCAGAUGAGCCUGCGUAAGAUUAGCUUGUUGGUAGGGUAAAAGCCUACCAAGGCGACGAUCUUUAGCUGGUCUGAGAGGAUGAUCAGCCACAUCGGGACUGAGACACGGCCCGAACUCCUACGGGAGGCAGCAGUGGGGAAUAUUGGACAAUGGGGGCAACCCUGAUCCAGCAAUACCGCGUGUGUGAAGAAGGCCUGAGGGUUGUAAAGCACUUUCAAUUGUGAAGAAAAGUUAGCGGUUAAUAACCGUUAGCCUUGACGUUAACUUUAGAAGAAGCACCGGCUAACUCCGUGCCAGCAGCCGCGGUAAUACGGAGGGUGCAAGCGUUAAUCGGAAUUACUGGGCGUAAAGCGUGCGUAGGCGGUUUAUUAAGUCAGAUGUGAAAGCCCCGGGCUUAACCUGGGAACUGCAUUUGAAACUGGUCAACUAGAGUAUGGUAGAGGAAAGUGGAAUUUCUGGUGUAGCGGUGAAAUGCGUAGAUAUCAGAAGGAACAUCAAUGGCGAAGGCAGCUUUCUGGACCAAUACUGACGCUGAGGUACGAAAGCGUGGGUAGCAAACAGGAUUAGAUACCCUGGUAGUCCACGCCGUAAACGAUGAUAACUAGCCGUUGGGGGGAUUUACCCUUUAGUGGCGAAGCUAACGCGUUAAGUUAUCCGCCUGGGGAGUACGGCCGCAAGGUUAAAACUCAAAGGAAUUGACGGGGACCCGCACAAGCGGUGGAGCAUGUGGUUUAAUUCGAUGCAACGCGAAGAACCUUACCUGGUCUUGACAUCCUGCGAACUUUCUAGAAAUAGAUUGGUGCCUUCGGGAACGCAGUGACAGGUGCUGCAUGGCUGUCGUCAGCUCGUGUCGUGAGAUGUUGGGUUAAGUCCCGUAACGAGCGCAACCCCUAUCCUUAUUUGCCAGCACAUCAUGGUGGGAACUAUAAGGAGACUGCCGGUGAUAAACCGGAGGAAGGCGGGGACGACGUCAAGUCAUCAUGGCCCUUACGACCAGGGCUACACACGUGCUACAAUGGGAAGGACAAAGAGCCGCGAAGCCGCGAGGUGUAGCUAAUCUCAUAAACCUUUUCGUAGUCCGGAUUGGAGUCUGCAACUCGACUCCAUGAAGUCGGAAUCGCUAGUAAUCGUAGAUCAGAAUGCUACGGUGAAUACGUUCCCGGGUCUUGCACACACCGCCCGUCA